CUACGGGCCGCUGCAGUGGGGAAUAUUGCACAAUGGGCGCAAGCCUGAUGCAGCCAUGCCGCGUGUAUGAAGAAGGCCUUCGGGUUGUAAAGUACUUUCAGCGGGGAGGAAGGGAGUAAAGUUAAUACCUUUGCUCAUUGACGUUACCCGCAGAAGAAGCACCGGCUAACUCCGUGCCAGCAGCCGCGGUAAUACGGAGGGUGCAAGCGUUAAUCGGAAUUACUGGGCGUGAAGCGCACGCAGGCGGUUUGUUAAGUCAGAUGUGAAAUCCCCGGGCUCAACCCGGGAACUGCAUCUGAUACUGGCAAGCUUGAGUCUCGUAGAGGGGGGUAGAAUUCCAGGUGUAGCGGUGAAAUGCGUAGAGAUCUGGAGGAAUACCGGUGGCGAAGGCGGCCCCCUGGACGAAGACUGACGCUCAGGUGCGAAAGCGUGGGGAGCAAACAGGAUUAGAUACCCCAGUAGUC
rnacentral:rRNA from 1 species